ensembl:lncRNA
AUGUGUGUUAUGUACUGUAUAUUAUACAUGUUGUGUAUGGGAGGCAAUAACCUUGUGAGAUAUUUCACUCUACCCUCUCUUGAUCUGGACUGCCUUCUCUCUGUGAAAUGGAAAAUCCGUCAGGAAGGAUUGCUGAACUCGCACCUGAAAACCAAUCUUGACUUUUCAAUCCGAGCCCUGGAGGCCUUUCCUGCAUCCAAGCGGUGUGACAUCUCUCUAACACUGGAAGGAGAGCGCCACCUGGUGCGUAUCACCACCAGAACACCUGCCCUGUCCUACAUGGUACAUCUGGGCUCAAAGGGGCCACAGCUCCUCCAAAGGACCCAUCUGGAAUCUCGACUCACAACCUCCAGCCUGGCAGAUAGCCACUUUGCUGGACAUCACUGUCAUGAUGAGUUGGAAAGCUGCUUUGAGCAGGCUAAAAAAGUCCUGAGCAGCGAAGGCUGAAAAUAAUCCAUCAGUUCUGGAUCACAUGGAGCUCAAGAUCACCUGUGGAGACCUGCACCUCAUGUACAGCACUCAUCAGCCCCUGCACACCCUCCACGCCAGAGAAUUUUCUUGGGCAAAACGCUGCCCCUAGAGAAGAUCCUGAAGACAAAGACACACCUGGAGAAGAGUGAAGAAAUGAGGAAAGAUCUGCUCACGUGUUUUCAGCACUUGCUGCAGCACUCUGACCAGUAUCAGGAGGAGAACGCACGUAUCAUUCUUCAGGGUGAUAGGGAGAUGCUGGAGUUUGUCAUUGGCAGAGCAGACAACCAUACAACUCAGUACUUCAUCUUCACCGAUGCCCGGAAUAAAGCUCAAAGCCAGCUGGUGCAGGAAAUAAAGUUGUGGGAGUAUGAUUAGGAAUAAUGGGACAGCUGCUUCCAUCUCUGUUGUAGAGGAGAUCACCAGACAUAUUAAGUUAUUAAUCAGGUUACUGAAGGAUAUAGAAUUAAAAUUACAUAAGUAAUACAUUAAUAAUUGUAUGUAUUUAGGAGUGUGAUUUUCUUCAAUGGAGCGAUCCUAAUCUCUCUGUCCAGUUGUAAAUUGGUUCUAUUAGCUUGCCACUGUAUAAAAUCAGAAAUAAAGUUAUAUUUUUAGAUUAUUAUUAUUUUCUGGCAUGCCCAAAAGUGAAUGUUCAUUUGUAUUGUUUGAUACAGUAUUUUUAAACAUUACAUAGAAUACAUUACA